rnacentral:rRNA from 1 species
GACGAACGCUGGCGGCGUGCUUAACACAUGCAAGUCGAACGGAAAGGCCCUGCUUUUGUGGGGUGCUCGAGUGGCGAACGGGUGAGUAACACGUGAGUAACCUGCCCUUGACUUUGGGAUAACUUCAGGAAACUGGGGCUAAUACCGGAUAGGAGCUCCUGCUGCAUGGUGGGGGUUGGAAAGUUUCGGCGGUUGGGGAUGGACUCGCGGCUUAUCAGCCUGUUGGUGGGGUAGUGGCUUACCAAGGCUUUGACGGGUAGCCGGCCUGAGAGGGUGACCGGCCACAUUGGGACUGAGAUACGGCCCAGACUCCUACGGGAGGCAGCAGUGGGGAAUAUUGCACAAUGGGCGGAAGCCUGAUGCAGCAACGCCGCGUGCGGGAUGACGGCCUUCGGGUUGUAAACCGCUUUCGCCUGUGACGAAGCGUGAGUGACGGUAAUGGGUAAAGAAGCACCGGCUAACUACGUA